UGAAGGAAGUAGGCUCGAAGCAGAACUUCUUGCCAGCGUACUUUCCGGGUUUGAAGGAGAAAGUCUCGGAGCCACCGUCAAUAGUUGGGCACUGGUUGGCCGUUCCAGUUCCCUUAACUUCCAUGUAAGUCUUGCUCUGAAUCUCGUCGUAAGUCAGUCUCUUCGGAGCUCCCUCUGCACUUGCUCCCUUUCAUUACACCACAAACACAUAACAAUUUCAACUUAAUUGUGAUCCCAAUAAGCUUUCCAAUUCGUAAAAUCGUAUCAUGUACCAAUUUGGUACUAAUGAUACACGAAGAUUGUGAAUAUAACGCAUUCUAAUAUUCUGUUGUGAUAAUCUUAAAAUGCUAUUGGUUUAGUGUACUACUUUCAAGGUGGCAAGUUCGAUGCAUUGUUAGAAACUGUUAUUAACAGUUCGUAAUAAACUUAUAUGGAAGAACCGGUGAUAGGAGGAAGUUACCGAGACGACGAGAGCAGAGGUUGCGAGAGCGAAUCCAGCGAUUUUGACAGCGUCGGAGCAUUUACCGGCCAAGUCCUUGAAGUCAGAUUGGAAGGAACAUGUGAGGCGAGCAGAGGAUGUUUCUAGUCCGAAAGAUUUCCCGACUGUCUGAGUCGACCGGAGGUGAGCACUGCCGCGUGAAGGAGCGGUGGAGAUUUUAGCGGCCUGAAGGAACGUAGAGGCGGAUUGGAGAGAGGCAGCCAUGGCCACAAAGUCUCUCAAAAAAAUGUUUAAUGGUUGUCCUGAUCCGAAGCAGAGGAAAGACCUAAAACAGUAGUAACAUUCGUUAGGAGAGAGAGAGAGAUAAGAUUUGGGAUAAGGCGAGAAUUUUCAUUGGUUUGUUUUGUGGGAAUCGGAGUUACUGGUUUCUUCUCUUGCCACGUGUCCGAAUGCUAAGUGGUGAUAUGGAUACGGUCUCACUCACUGAUGCUGACAUAUACAAUUGUUGCAUUAAUUAAUUAAAAAAAAACUCAAAUGGCCCAUGCAGGUUUCGAACCUGCGACCUUCGCGUUAUUAGCACAACGCUCUAACCAACUGAGCCAAUGGUUCUUCGAUGCUUACAAAAAUUGUUAAUUACAUCUUCCUUGAGAAAAGCAAUCCAAGGAAGCAACGGUUUGCUACGUUCGGGUGUUUAAUCUACGACCGCUGUAAGGGACUGAAGCUUGGAAGCCCUUGAGCAGCUUAAGUUGACUGAACCACCGGUUUUCCUAGCGCCAAGUUCGAUAUCAGAGGUGGCUCGUGUUGCAUCAUCUCUUCAUCAAGUUGAAGCAGCACAGCUCUAAAUCUCCUAAUUUUGACGAGCUAUUGGUUGAGCAGCAUAAUCUGCAGUCUCUUUGCGUCAGGAAGUAAAGCGUUUUGCUAAUACCCCCUGAAGAGAUUGGAUAAAAACAACAGUUAUUGUUCAUGUCAGAAAUAAUUUUUUUUUUUUUUUUUCUUAACCUAGUAUAUUUAAUACUUUUCGUUAAUUGACUAUAAUCCGUAAGAUGGAAUUUAACAUGCUUCAGAGCAUGUGAUAGAUUGUACUAACACACACGCUUGUAGAAUCUACUGUAAGAAUAUCUUUGAAUUUGUGAUGAGUGUAUGCAAGAUCUGUAGUGUACGUUUCUGUAUGAAUCCGAUAUCUCUAGAUAUAAAAUAGAAUUGUCCCCGAGAAGUUUACAUAAUUUCAUUAUUCAUAUAUAUAUAUAUAUAUAUACUAGUUCUAGAGGUUUAAAACUUAAGAGAGAAUCUCUCUGAAAUCUGCAUUGUUAUGUGCUGUCCCACGCCAAUGAAGUUGUCUGUGUUCUUUCAUGUUUCGAGAUUUAAGACCAAGCACAGACCAAUAAUGUUUUAUUUAUAAGUUAAACACUGUUUUGUUUAAUGUUCACACCCAUGCACAUUAAAUACAGGGUAAGUAAGGUCCAUAAGGAGCAAGCUGAUUAGACUACAUUAUUUAUACGAAUUUAUAAAACCUAAUUUCCACUUGUUAUUCGCCAGUAUAUUAAACUAAUUUCAUAUAAAUAUAUCAAAAGGCAAACCAACUAAUUCAUUGAUUAUCAAAAUGGUUCGACUGCAAACUUAUAAAUUUAAAAAUUAUAAAAUAAUAAUAAUUUUGCUUUGAAGUUAUUUUCUUGUUCGUCUUGGAAACAAGCUGUAAAUAAAAUUACCACUGUAUUUAAGAAGCAUAAAUAAUAUUCUAUUUGUUUCAAAAAAAUGUAUGUUUUGAAUAUUUUUCAAAACAUUUUAAAUAUUGAUUAUAAAUGUAUUAUUUAUGAUUAAUUAGUUUCCACAAUUUUUUAGCAAAUCAAAAUUUAAUAAACACCGAUAAUUUUUCUCAAAAUUUACAAUUACCAUUAUUAGUUAGUAAAUAUACACUGAAAUUCAAAACAAGUUUUUUGUAGAAUAUAUAUAAUUUUGAAAAGGAGGGAAUAAUUCACAGUAACCUGGUUAGAGAUUACAUAACUCAUCAUAACUUACCAUUAUUAGACCAUAUGAUUAAAGUUAAAUAGAGGACUAUAUAUGGAUACAAAAAAAACUUAAGAUUUAGGGCAUGUGCAUUUUUUUAUAAUAGAAGAAGAAGAAACAUCAAAAGAUGUACUCAUUGUAAUCAAAUACAAAGAGAAGAUGUUUAGAUAUGAUAACAUGAUCACUCAAGUUGACCAUACCACACCCCUUGGAUCUUCACAUCCUUUGGUACCUUGGCACCCAAGUCAGUAUCCGACGGCUGAAGACUUUCGAACACUCCGAUCACUUCUCCUGUCUCGGAUUUGCUCUUUGUCACUUUCAAAGUGAUCUCUCCCACCGAAGCUGCCGUGUUCUUCACGUUCUCCUUAGAAAGCUCCUCUUCGUCGCCUCUGCCUCCAGCUGGCAAUGCAACGGCGUUGUCAUAUCCUGUGGAACCACCACGGCCCUUAGGGUCCAAGAAGGAGGAGCCACGGUAUGAAGGGACUAAGAAUUUGCCAGAGAAGUUGUCUGGUUUGCCAGAGGCGUCAAGCUGCUUGACGGUGAAGAGGAAUGGCACACGCUCGCCUCCUGGAAGCUGGACAGUGACAGCAGCGUAGUCGAUGCCGUCUUCUUCCUUGAAGUUAACGCUUCCGUCAGAAGAAACCUGCUCGAGAACCGAUUAUAAAAAGAAUCACAAACCCUAUUCGUAACCAAUAAAACAGACAGUUUCUUGCGGUGGAAGCAAAAAGAAAAAAAAGAAAAAGAAAAACCUCGAAGGGGCCUUCGAUCUCGUCAAGAGUGUAGGUGAGACGGGUCAUGAGCUUGGUGUUCUGGAAAUCAGGAGGCGCAUUCUUGCUAACACUCUCAGCCUUGACGGUGAAGGAAGUAGGCUCGAAGCAGAACUUCUUGCCAGCGUACUUUCCGGGUUUGAAGGAGAAAGUCUCGGAGCCACCGUCAAUAGUUGGGCACUGGUUGGCCGUUCCAGUUCCCUUAACUUCCAUGUAAGUCUUGCUCUGAAUCUCGUCGUAAGUCAGUCUCUUCGGAGCUCCCUCUGCACUUGCUCCCUUUCAUUACACCACAAACACAUAACAAUUUCAACUUAAUUGUGAUCCCAAUAAGCUUUCCAAUUCGUAAAAUCGUAUCAUGUACCAAUUUGGUACUAAUGAUACACGAAGAUUGUGAAUAUAACGCAUUCUAAUAUUCUGUUGUGAUAAUCUUAAAAUGCUAUUGGUUUAGUGUACUACUUUCAAGGUGGCAAGUUCGAUGCAUUGUUAGAAACUGUUAUUAACAGUUCGUAAUAAACUUAUAUGGAAGAACCGGUGAUAGGAGGAAGUUACCGAGACGACGAGAGCAGAGGUUGCGAGAGCGAAUCCAGCGAUUUUGACAGCGUCGGAACAUUUACCGGCGAAGUCCUUGAAGUCAGAUUGGAAGGAACAUGUGAGGCGAGCAGAGGAUGUUUCUAGUCCGAAAGAUUUCCCGACUGUCUGAGUCGACCGGAGGUGAGCACUGCCGCGUGAAGGAGCGGUGGAGAUUUUAGCGGCCUGAAGGAACGUAGAGGCGGAUUGGAGAGAGGCAGCCAUGGCCACAAAGUCUCUCAAAAAAAUGUUUAAUGGUUGUCCUGAUCCGAAGCAGAGGAAAGACCUAAAACAGUAGUAACAUUCGUUAGGAGAGAGAGAGAGAU
rnacentral:lncRNA from 1 species